rnacentral:rRNA from 1 species
GUGGGGAAUAUUGGACAAUGGGCGAAAGCCUGAUCCAGCCAUGCCGCGUGUGUGAAGAAGGUCUUCGGAUUGUAAAGCACUUUAAGUUGGGAGGAAGGGCAGUAAGUUAAUACCUUGCUGUUUUGACGUUACCGACAGAAUAAGCACCGGCUAACUUCGUGCCAGCAGCCGCGGUAAUACGAAGGGUGCAAGCGUUAAUAGGAAUUACUGGGCGUAAAGCGCGCGUAGGUGGUUUUGUAAGUUGGAGGUGAAAUCCCCGGGCUCAACCUGGGAACUGCCUCCAAAACUGCAUGACUAGAGUACGGUAGAGGGUAGUGGAAUUUCCUGUGUAGCGGUGAAAUGCGUAGAUAUAGGAAGGAACACCAGUGGCGAAGGCGACUACCUGGACUGAUACUGACACUGAGGUGCGAAAGCGUGGGGAGCAAACAGGAUUAGAAACCCCAGUAGUCC